rnacentral:tRNA from 1 species
GGGGUCAUAGUUUCAAUUGGUAGAACAUAUGCUUUGCACGCAUGAGGAAUCGGUUCGAGUCCGGUUGACUCCA